AGCAGCCGCGGUAAUUCCAGCUCCAAUAGCGUAUAUUAAAGUUGUUGCAGUUAAAAAGCUCGUAGUUGAAUUUCGGGGUUAGUAGGCUGGUCGUGCCACCGGUACGUACUGGUCUUACUGAUUCCUCCUUCCUGAUGAACUGUAAUGCCAUUAAUUUGGUGUUGCAGGGAAUCUGGACUGUUACUUUGAAAAAAUUAGAGUGUUUAAAGCAGGCUAACGCUUGAAUACAUUAGCAUGGAAUAAUGAAAUAGGACGUUCGAUCCUAUUUUGUUGGUUUCUAGGAUUUGACGUAAUGAUUAAUAGGGAUAGUUGGGGGCAUUAGUAUUCAAUUGUCAGAGGUGAAAUUCUUGGAUUUAUUGAAGACUAACUACUGCGAAAGCAUUUGCCAAGGAUGUUUUCAUUAAUCAAGAACGAAAGUUAGGGAUCGAAGACGAUCAGAUACCGUCGUAG
rnacentral:rRNA from 1 species